rnacentral:rRNA from 1 species
UACGUAGGGUGCGAGCGUUGCCCGGAUUUAUUGGGCGUAAAGGGCGCGUAGGCGGCCACGCACGUCCGUUGUGAAAUCGCCCGGCUCAACUGGGCUAGGUCAGCGGAUACGGUGUGGCUAGAGCAAGCUAGGGGGCAAUGGAAUUCCCGGUGUAGUGGUGGAAUGCGUAGAUAUCGGGAGGAACACCAGUGGCGAAGGCGGUUGCCUGGAGCUUUGCUGACGCUGAUGCGCGAAAGCGUGGGGAGCGAUCCGG